CCUACGGGGGGCAGCAGUGGGGAAUAUUGGACAAUGGGGGCAACCCUGAUCCAGCCAUGCCGCGUGUGUGAAGAAGGCCCUCGGGUUGUAAAGCACUUUCAGUGAGGAAGAACGCCUGGUGGUUAAUACCCAUCAGGAAAGACAUCACUCACAGAAGAAGCACCGGCUAACUCCGUGCCAGCAGCCGCGGUAAUACGGAGGGUGCGAGCGUUAAUCGGAAUUACUGGGCGUAAAGCGCGCGUAGGUGGCUUGAUAAGCCGGUUGUGAAAGCCCCGGGCUCAACCUGGGAACGGCAUCCGGAACUGUCAAGCUGGAGUGCAGGAGAGGAAGGUAGAAUUCCCGGUGUAGCGGUGAAAUGCGUAGAGAUCGGGAGGAAUACCAGUGGCGAAGGCGGCCUUCUGGACUGACACUGACACUGAGGUGCGAAAGCGUGGGUAGCAAACAGGAUUAGAUACCCGGGUAGUC
rnacentral:rRNA from 1 species